GCUGCUCAAAUAUGUUACCUCUUCGCGGUGAGCAGCAGGCAACGGGAUAUCCUCCCGGCUAAAGCAUAU
rnacentral:ribozyme from 1 species